rnacentral:rRNA from 1 species
UACAGGGGGGGCGAGCGUUGUUCGGAAUUACUGGGCGUAAAGCGUGCGCAGGCGGUUUUGUAAGUCUGUCGUGAAAGCCCCGGGCUCAACCUGGGAAUUGCGAUGGAGACUGCAAGGCUUGAAUCUGGCAGAGGGGGGUAGAAUUCCACGUGUAGCAGUGAAAUGCGUAGAGAUGUGGAGGAACACCGAUGGCGAAGGCAGCCCCCUGGGUCAAGAUUGACGCUCAUGCGCGAAAGCGUGGGGAGCAAACAGG